rnacentral:ncRNA from 2 species
AUCAGAGUAGGAAAUAAAGCGUUAAGUGCUGAAAGGAUGGGAUGUUGCCUUUCGGACGAAGAAUACAUAAGAAUAGUGAAAUGGCUAGACCAGUUUUAUGAUCUAGCUACACGAACUAGCUCUU